AGCUACUGUGCUUAAAGGAGAAUCCUCCUCAAAUGGUUAUAAAAAGUCUCCUGUUCAAAGCAGUAUUGUUCAAAACUGGCUCUAAUGUGUUUCCCCUUUUUUCUUUUGCUCUAGAUAAUGUUCACAACUCUUGAGCAUCCCACUGGCAGCCUACAGCACCGUGGAUGUGUUUGCACCUAGGGCCUGAGAGCUUUAGAGCAUUGCAAAAAUCCUGGAGGCUGGUUUAUUCCUUCCUUCUCCCCUGCACGCCCUCUGACUACAGGAUUCAGUAGAACUAGUCCCACAAGACGAGACGGAAUAAAGCAGUGGUGGAGCUUCUGGAGUGCCGAGACAAAAAUUAGGAAUGGUGACACACAGCUCAGUGGUAGAGUAUUUUGGUGGCAUGUGUAAGGACUUGAGACUUGGGUUUAAUCUCCUGUUUGUUUUUUUAAAGGAAGAAAAUGAAAUUUUGGGGUAUGUAUACCCAGAUAUAACAACAAAAUUGUUCAGAAACUGACAAUCAAGCAAAACUCCAUGCUACCAGAUGAGAUGAAUGUGGGACACUUGUUGGUCUAAAUCCUUUCCCAGGAAAGCCUCACCUUACUAAAUGCCACUGGCUGUGUUCAAUUUAAUGUCAAAAACAAAAAAAGGUGGGGUGUGGUAGCGCUGGUCUGUAAUCCCAGCACUUUGCACUUGUCAGCUGGAAGCAAGGGAAUCAGGAGUUUAACAUCAGUCUCAGCUACUUAGCAAGUUCAAAACCAGCCUGGACUACAUGAGACCAUGUCAGAAACCAAACCAAGAAAAACUUCCUGUUCCUAAGGAACAAGCUUUAUAGAGUGUCUGUGGAAUAAGAAUGCACCAGAUGACUAAGAUUGGAAUUUUGAAUAGAUCAAAGCAGUCUGGAGUGUUCUAGAAACUGCAUGAACAUACCUUAAGUUAGAUUGAGGUAAGGGGAGACGUGUCAGUGUUCAGACACAGGAGGAGCCUGGCCUAUGAGUCAGCAAGGCCUAACAGGACCACAGGAAGCUUGGCCAGGGGGUCCCCACACAGUGGAUGCUCAUCAUUACUGGCUGUCGCAUGUUGAGAAGUCCCAGGAAUUGUGACAACCCGGACUUGAGUGUGUUGUGCAUGCAGCCAUGAAGUGGGAGGCUGCAGCAGGUCCUGACGACUUCUCUCAUAAGACUCCCACGGGGCAAUGUGUGUGCGGCUUUUGACACCCACUUCCUUUUCUGCAGAAACGCCCUCUCUGCUAAUGUUGCCGACCUAGACACCCCCUCCUUUAUACCAGAGCUAUCUGCGUGCGCUGCUGCCUCAAAGGCACCCACCACCCACGUACUUCCUCAAAUCCCUACAAGCCCACACUGGAGCCUACUCUGCUGGAUCUGGAUCAGGAGAGGGGGGGUCUCAGAGUGCUCCCGGGGGCGUGCCCUGGAGGGCGUGGUGACAACGUCUGAGCUGGCUGGCCCAGCAGGGGCCCACGUGAGCUGUUUACCUGCUUGCCCUUGGCAGUUCGCAGACGGGUGUAGCGGGGCUGGGGCGAGGGAGUGCCUGGGAACAGUCAGUGUGCGCCUGGCUUGGCGCUGUGCCUUGCAGCUGGCGGGAGGGUGGGGUCGCCCUGCCCUGCUGGGAGCUGCUGACCGGAAAGUGAUUGGGGAUGGGAGCCCCUAGGCUUUUUCCGCUGGGAACCUUGACUGUGAGGCAGAGAGGCUUUGGACAGCAUUACUAUUUGGGAGCAUGGAGAGACUCAAAGAGACCUUUCCAGGCUCAUUCCUGUCUGCUGUCUGCCUUGUGACUUUCGCCAAGUCACUUGAUCUGGGGCCUUAGUUUCCUCAGUUGUCUUGAGGGAAUGAGGCCUGAAAGUGGCCAAGAAGGAAACACAAGUCAUGUCACAUUACAUUCAUUCCAUGUCUAGUGAGUAUUUAGGAUGCUCGGCCAUGUCCUGAUCCUGAGGUUCUGGUGCCUAGCGCCAGCACUGUGCAAGUUAGGUGCUGGCGCUCAGGAGUGGGCCGUGAGCAGGCUUGACCUCAGAGUCCUCACCGGACGACAUAUUGGCUACAAAGGUCAUGAGAAGAGGCGAGGUCUUUGACGUACUUCCUGUCGUCCCUGGCACAGAAUGGGCUCCUAACCCCAAGCUACAGGCUUCCGGCCGCACAGAGGGUUUGGAGACAGCUGAUCAUCUGAGUGCAGCCUGGUCUGGAGAAAUGGAAACAGACCUCGCAAGCUGGGCGUGCACAGCGCAGAGCGGGCUCAGUUUCCACGAUGCUGGCUAGCCAAGAAGGAAUGCAGUUACUCAUUAAGCACACUCCCGUUGAUCCCUGCCUUAGCAAAGCUUCUCAGCCUGGCUUUCGAAUCUCUAGUCCAACCUCUGCUUAAAAAAAAAAAAAGCCCAGUGAACAGUUCAUGGAUGUUUCUCCCGAUUCACACUUUCUAAUGAAUAAGAUUGUAAACAAGAUUGGCCUACAUCAGUGGUGAUUUGUGUAUCAGAAUAACUUGGGGAUGAGCUUGCCAGCAUUUAAUAGCAGAGUUGGUAAAGCCAGAUUGCAGUUGCUUUCGGCUCAAAGUCUGGAAGACGUUCCUACUUUGUGCCUUAGCAAUAACACAAAAAAUACUGCCGCCCUUGUUGCCACUAGGUGGUCUCAACAGCUGUUUCUGUUUUGAUGUUGUAAACUCCUGUUUUGACCUUAAUUUCACCUUUUUUUUUUCCCUGUCAGUAGCCACUUUAAGGUCCUGUUGCUACAAGAAUUAAGGGAAAACCCAUUAGCAGUGAGUUAUUACCACACCCCUGACUUCUGCAGAAUGUUGAGUAAAUCAAACUUCUGUUCUUUCUGGAAAAAACCUGCAGCUGAAACUGGGAUGGGGCUAAAGAAAGCCAGCUGGCUUCUGCGUCUGCCUGCCACUGGCCGUUUCUGUUUAAGAUCUGUUUAUCAUGCAACCUACUUGGCCAGGAUGUGACUAGCUUUCCUAAGUCUAGGGUGGUGACAUACACUGUGUGAUGCCUCACAUCUAAAAUACACGAGAACCACCCGUUGAGCCUCACGUUUGUUGAACUCAGUGGUCUGGUCACACAUAUUAACAGUUCCUUGUUAGAAAACAGUAGCUAUUUGGUUAAUGUUAUGUAUGAAUAAUAACUUAAAAAUAACUAAAACAUGGAGAAUUUCAGGGUUCAACAUUUUCAUUUAGCAUACUUUUUUCAUUUCAAUCUUUUAAAAAGGUGAGUUUAGUUGCCAAUGUUUUGGGCUCUUAAGAUUGAUAUAAAAGAGCCAGCUGUCUGUCUCUGGUCUCAUUUCAGUUUUCCAUACAUUUUUUUUAAACAAGGAGUAUAUACUAUGCUACAUCAGUAUGGCAUUAUUAUUAAUAUUCACUAAGAAUGUUCUAUAUAUAUAUUUAUUGUAUGUAUAUGUGUGUAUGUGAUAUAUUUGUAUAUACAUCACUCCAUUUAGUGUGAUAUGUGUGCAUAUAUAGCUAUAUCUAUAUAAUAGUGUCAAUCACUCCUUCAGCAUCAUGGCAUUAUUACCCCCACCUCCCUGCUUUCUGUAGUAUUGGGGAUAUUCACUAGGCUAAUAUUCUACUGCUGAACCACACUCCUAGCCCAUUACUGUUUCUAAAAGAUUCUUCCAGUAAAGUUAAGCUACACACACACCCCACCUUGUAUUGGGAAUAAAGGCCAGGGGGCCUUGCUGAACAACAACUCUGUCAUUGAGUACAUCUCCAGUAACAUGUACUUUUUAAUUGUG